CAGAGCAUAGCUGAAGUAGUUAAAGCAUCUCACUUACACCGAGAAGUUGUUCUUGCAAAUAGAACUGUCCUGAC
rnacentral:tRNA from 1 species